GAUGAACGCUGGCGGCGUGCCUAAUACAUGCAAGUCGAGCGAACAGACGAGGAGCUUGCUCCUCUGACGUUAGCGGCGGACGGGUGAGUAACACGUGGAUAACCUACCUAUAAGACUGGGAUAACUUCGGGAAACCGGAGCUAAUACCGGAUAAUAUAUUGAACCGCAUGGUUCAAUAGUGAAAGACGGUUUUGCUGUCACUUAUAGAUGAACCCGCGCCGCAUUAGCUAGUUGGUAAGGUAACGGCUUACCAAGGCAACGAUGCGUAGCCGACCUGAGAGGGUGAUCGGCCACACUGGAACUGAGACACGGUCCAGACUCCUACGGGAGGCAGCAGUAGGGAAUCUUCCGCAAUGGGCGAAAGCCUGACGGAGCAACGCCGCGUGAGUGAUGAAGGUCUUCGGAUCGUAAAACUCUGUUAUUAGGGAAGAACAAAUGUGUAAGUAACUAUGCACGUCUUGACGGUACCUAAUCAGAAAGCCACGGCUAACUACGUG
rnacentral:rRNA from 1 species